GAUGAACGCUGGCGGCGUGCCUAAAACAUGCAAGUCGAGCGAAGGGACGAGAACUUGCUUUCCUGGUGGUUGGGGGGGGAGGGGGGGGAAACACGGGGAAACCCAACUUUAAGGACGGGGAAACCUUGGGAAAACGGGGGCAAAUACGGGAAAAUAUUUGAAACGGAUGGGUUAAAAAGUGAAAGAGGGCUUUGCGGUCACUUUUGGAGGAAUCCGCGCUGCAUUGGCUAGUUGGUAAGGUAACGGCUUACCAAGGAAACGAUGCAUAGCCGACCUGAGAGGGUGAUCGGCCACACUGGAACUGAGACACGGUCCAGACUCCUACGGGAGGCAGCAGUAGGGAAUCUUCCGCAAUGGGCGAAAGCCUGACGGAGCAACGCCGCGUGAGUGAUGAAGGUCUUCGGAUCGUAAAACUCUGUUAUUAGGGAAGAACAUAUGUGUAAGUAACUGUGCACAUCUUGACGGUACCUAAUCAGAAAGCCACGGCUAACUACGUG
rnacentral:rRNA from 1 species